GGUACCGGGACUUGGGGAGCGAGGGAUGCAACAUGGUGCAUCUGGGAGGCCUGCUAACUGGCUAACUUCUCCGGCGUUCCUCCCGGCCGAGGCGUGGGCACAGAAUAGCGCAGGUCAGUAUGUACCUCGUUUUGUAUAUUGUCUUGAAACUUUACUCCUUUGUAUGUUUGAAGACAUCAUUUUCCAGUUUUGGAGCCGACUAAUGAACUAGUUCUUAAGUGAAAGGCAUUUAACACGACUGUGCAUCUACAGGUACUAGGUUUCCAAGAUGCCUUUCCAGACUAAAACCCACACAUGUGAGCCGCUGGCCGGACAAACAUCUGGCACCUAACGUGGGGCUGAAAAACAGCAGAGGACAUUUGGAAGAAACACUGCUGGUUUGGAGCUCCAUAGAAGAAGAAAAUAAUUAAAGGAAAUUCAUACCAGAGAAGGAAGCUGCAGCUCCUCUCCUCUGGAUCUUUAUGACCACACCAGGAAGCAUUGUGAUCUGCAGUCACUGCCAACCUGCAGGAUAACACAGCUUGUUCCUCUGGGAACUGCCCUGCAGUGUCUGCAUACAGCCACCCUCGACCUGUCUGCCUGGUCUUUGCAACCUCUAGUGGCUGUUGUUCCACAAUGUGUUGUGAAGAGACCUGAAUGGUUUGCACCAAAACACAAACACAAACCAUUGGGAGAGUGAUUGGUGAAGUGAUGGACAUUUACUCGGGCAAAGGCAUGCAUGUAAAAUAGUCCCUAUCUGGAUGGACCUACGCCUGUGGCAGGAAGUUCACUGGUCAAUUACCUGCUGACUGAAGUGGCCUAUUUUCUUCUGACCCCCUGCUUCUCUCUUCCCCUCUCCGCCCUGAAAGCUGUUUGGGCAUAGGGAGGUCUUGACCUGAGGAAACCAUCUUGGGUAACCAAGGCAAGGAAAGGGAAUAUGCAACACCUAGGAGAUUUCAGCAAACAGUAGAAUCAUGCCAACGUAAUCUGUGUUAAAAUGCUUGGAAUGUGGGAGCCGCCGGUGAUGUCUGUUGUCUGUGUGUCUCCAGUAAUCCUUUCUUUUUUAAGUGCAGCAAAGCCAAGCCUGGAAACCAGGCCAAGCGCCUGCCACUUACCUUAAAUUUAUCAGCCACUUUGAGAUUAAAACCCCUGAAAGCUGCUGCACAGUGAAAGCAAGGCCUCCUUCACAUUAAAGGCAAAUCGCAACUCUGG
rnacentral:lncRNA from 1 species